ACCCUUGUACCGACAGACUGCUGACUUGAAGGUUGGGUUGCUGACCCAAAGGUUGUUGGUUCGAAUCCAACCCGGGGAG
rnacentral:tRNA from 1 species